GACGAACGCUGGCGGCGUGCUUAACACAUGCAAGUCGAGCGGUAAGGCCCUUUCGGGGGUACACGAGCGGCGAACGGGUGAGUAACACGUGGGUGACCUGCCCUCAGCUCUGGGAUAAGCCUGGGAAACCGGGUCUAAUACUGGAUAUGACUCCAUGACGCAUGUUGUGGGGUGGAAAGCCUUGUGCGGCUGAGGAUGGGCCCGCGGCCUAUCAGCUUGUUGGUGGGGUGANGGCCUACCAAGGCGACGACGGGUAGCCGGCCUGAGAGGGCGACCAGCCACACUGGGACUGAGACACGGCCCAGACUCCUACGGGAGGGCAGCAGUGGGGAAUAUUGGACAAUGGGCGCAAGCCUGGUCCAGCGAUGCCGCGUGUGUGAAGAAGGCCUGCGGGGUUGUAAAGCACUUUCAGUAGGGAAGAAAAGACCGAAUGCUAAUAUCACUCGGUCUUGACGUUACUUACAGAAGAAGCACCGGCUAACUCCGUGCCACGCCGCCGCGGU
rnacentral:rRNA from 1 species